rnacentral:rRNA from 1 species
AGAGUUUGAUCCUGGCUCAGGACGAACGCUGGCGGCGUGCUUAACACAUGCAAGUGGAGCGACGAACCAGGGCUUGCCCUGGGGCAGAGCCGCGAACGGGUGAGUAACACGUGGGUUACCUGCCUCGAUGACUGGGACAACCCGAGGAAACUCGGGCUAAUACCGGAUGUGCCCGCAAGGGGAAAGGAAGCUUCGGCCUCCGCAUCGAGAUGGGCCCGCGGCCCAUUAGCUUGUUGGUGAGGUAACGGCUCACCAAGGCUUCGAUGGGUAGCUGGUCUGAGAGGACGAUCAGCCACACUGGGACUGAGACACGGCCCAGACUCCUACGGGAGGCAGCAGUGGGGAAUCUUGCGCAAUGCGCGAAAGCGUGACGCAGCAACGCCGCGUGGGGGAAGAAGGCUUUCGGGUUGUAAACCCCUUUCAGUUGGGACGAAGCUUCGCCGAUGAAUAGUCGGCCGGAGUGACGGUACCUUCACAAGAAGCACCGGCUAACUACGUGCCAGCAGCCGCGGUAAUACGUAGGGUGCAAGCGUUGUCCGGAAUUAUUGGGCGUAAAGAGCGUGUAGGCGGCCCGAUUAGUCCGCUGUGAAAGUCCAGGGCUCAACCCUGGAAUGCCGGUGGAUACUGUCGGGCUAGAGUCCGGAAGGGGCGAGUGGAAUUCCUGGUGUAGCGGUGAAAUGCGCAGAUAUCAGGAGGAACACCAAUGGCGAAGGCAGCUCGCUGGGACGUGACUGACGCUGAGACGCGAAAGCGUGGGGAGCAAACAGGAUUAGAUACCCUAGUAGUCC